AGCAGCCGCGGUAAUUCCAGCUCCAAUAGCGUAUAUUAAAGUUGUUGCAGUUAAAAAGCUCGUAGUUGAAUUUCGAGACCGGUUUAUUGGUCGUGCUUUUGUACGUACUGGUAUUAUUGGUUUCUCCUUUCUGACGAAUCUUAAUGCCAUUAAUUUGGUGUUUUGGGGAAUCAGGACUGUUACUUUGAAAAAAUUAGAGUGUUUAAAGCAGGCUCACGCUUGAAUACAUUAGCAUGGAAUAACGGAAUAGGACGUUUGAUUCUAUUUUGUUGGUUUCUAGGAUCGACGUAAUGAUUAAUAGGGAUAGUUGGGGGCAUUAGUAUUCAAUUGUCAGAGGUGAAAUUCUUGGAUUUAUUGAAGACUAACUACUGCGAAAGCAUUUGCCAAGGAUGUUUUCAUUAAUCAAGAACGAAAGUUAGGGGAUCGAAGACGAUCAGAUACCGUCGUAGUCUUAACCAUAAACUAUGCCGAC
rnacentral:rRNA from 1 species